rnacentral:rRNA from 1 species
GGGGAAUAUUGCACAAUGGGCGAAAGCCUGAUGCAGCAACGCCGCGUGAGCGAGGAAGGCCUUUGGGUCGUAAAGCUCUGUCGGGAAGGAAGAUAAUGACGGUACUUCCCGAGGAAGCCCCGGCUAACUACGUGCCAGCAGCCGCGGUAAUACGUAGGGGGCGAGCGUUAUCCGGAAUUAUUGGGCGUAAAGAGUGCGUAGGUGGUUGUUUAAGCGUGGGGUGAAAGGCAAUAGCUCAACUAUUGUAAGCCUCGCGAACUGGGCGACUUGAGUGCAGGAGAGGAAAGCGGAAUUCCUAGUGUAGCGGUGAAAUGCGUAGAUAUUAGGAGGAACACCAGUGGCGAAGGCGGCUUUCUGGACUGUAACUGACACUGAGGCACGAAAGCGUGGGGAGCAAAC